UCGAGCGGACAGAAGGGAGCUUGCUCCCGGAUGUUAGCGGCGGACGGGUGAGUAACACGUGGGUAACCUGCCUGUAAGACUGGGAUAACUCCGGGAAACCGGAGCUAAUACCGGAUAGUUCCUUGAACCGCAUGGUUCAAGGAUGAAAGACGGUUUCGGCUGUCACUUACAGAUGGACCCGCGGCGCAUUAGCUAGUUGGUGGGGUAAUGGCUCACCAAGGCGACGAUGCGUAGCCGACCUGAGAGGGUGAUCGGCCACACUGGGACUGAGACACGGCCCAGACUCCUACGGGAGGCAGCAGUAGGGAAUCUUCCGCAAUGGACGAAAGUCUGACGGAGCAACGCCGCGUGAGUGAUGAAGGUUUUCGGAUCGUAAAGCUCUGUUGUUAGGGAAGAACAAGUGCGAGAGUAACUGCUCGCACCUUGACGGUACCUAACCAGAAAGCCACGGCUAACUACGUGCCAGCAGCCGCGGUAAUACGUAGGUGGCAAGCGUUGUCCGGAAUUAUUGGGCGUAAAGGGCUCGCAGGCGGUUUCUUAAGUCUGAUGUGAAAGCCCCCGGCUCAACCGGGGAGGGUCAUUGGAAACUGGGAAACUUGAGUGCAGAAGAGGAGAGUGGAAUUCCACGUGUAGCGGUGAAAUGCGUAGAGAUGUGGAGGAACACCAGUGGCGAAGGCGACUCUCUGGUCUGUAACUGACGCUGAGGAGCGAAAGCGUGGGGAGCGAACAGGAUUAGAUACCCUGGUAGUCCACGCCGUAAACGAUGAGUGCUAAGUGUUAGGGGGU
rnacentral:rRNA from 1 species